rnacentral:rRNA from 1 species
CCCUUAGAUGUCCUGGGCCGCACGCGCGUUACACUGAUGCAUUCAACGAGCUUAUAACCUUGGCCGAGAGGCCUGGGCAAUCUUGUUAACGUGCAUCGUGAUGGGAUAGAUUAUUGAAAUUAUUAAUCUUGAACGAGGAAUUCCUAGUAAACGCAGAUCAUCAAUCUGCAUUGAUUACGUCCCUGCCCUUUGUACACACCGCCCGUCGCACCUACCGAUUGGAUGGUCCGGUGAAGCCUCGGGAUUGUGGUUCUUGCCGCUUUAUUGUGGCGUGACCGCGAGAACUUGUCUAAACCUUAUCAUCUAGAGGAAGGUGAAGUCGUAACA